GGAAUCCCGCCUGGGUAAGUGCUAGCCACACGCCCAGUAUCGAGUGUUGCAGCCAACGUAUAAGGCGGUUCGCCGAAGUCGUUGGUUGAAGCGUACACAGAAAGGUAGUGAGGAUGAAUUGACUGCGGGUGGCCCCGCAGCAAUGAAUGGAAGUAGCUCCGAAAUUUAGUACCUGUUGGAUUCUGCCCAAGGCUUGUGCAUACCUGAAGGCAACAUCGGCUGCAGCGUUACCGGCAAGUUGCAGACGGAGACCCGGAGUCCGCGGCCC
rnacentral:ncRNA from 1 species